AAUAAAAUGGCUGAAUUUAUAAGCGAUAAAUUGUAAAUUUAUUUAUAAGAAGAAUUUCUUUUUUAUUA
rnacentral:tRNA from 1 species